GAUGAACGCUGGCGGCGUGCUUAAUACAUGCAAGUCGAACGAAGCACCUUGGACAGAAUCCUUCGGGAGGAAGACCAUUGUGACUGAGUGGCGGACGGGUGAGUAACGCGUGGGUAACCUGCCUUGUACAGGGGGAUAACAGUUGGAAACGACUGCUAAUACCGCAUAAGCGCACAGUACCGCAUGGUACGGUGUGAAAAACUCCGGUGGUACAAGAUGGACCCGCGUCUGAUUAGCUGGUUGGUGAGGUAACGGCCCACCAAGGCGACGAUCAGUAGCCGACUUGAGAGAGUGAUCGGCCACAUUGGGACUGAGACACGGCCCAAACUCCUACGGGAGGCAGCAGUAGGGAAUAUUGCACAAUGGGGGAAACCCUGAUGCAGCGACGCCGCGUGAAGGAAGAAGUAUUUCGGUAUGUAAACUUCUAUCAGCAAGGAAGAAAAUGACGGUACUUGACUAAGAAGCCC
rnacentral:rRNA from 1 species